rnacentral:rRNA from 1 species
GACAGAGGGUGCAAACGUUGUUCGGAAUUACUGGGCGUAAAGCGAGUGUAGGCGGUUCUCAAAGUCGGAUGUGAAAGCCCCGGGCUCGACCCGGGAAGUGCACCCGAUACUGGAGAGCUAGAGUGUCGGAGAGGUUGGUGGAAUUCUCGGUGUAGAGGUGAAAUUCGUAGAUAUCGAGAGGAACACCGGUGGUGUAGACGGCUUUCUGGACCGUAACUGACGCUGAGACACGAAAGCGUGGGGAGCAAACAGG